rnacentral:rRNA from 1 species
UACAGAGGGGGCGAGCGUUGUUCGGAAUUACUGGGCGUAAAGGGCGCGUAGGCGGCCUUCUAAGUCGAACGUGAAAUCCCCGGGCUCAACCCGGGAACUGCGUCCGAUACUGGGAGGCUUGAAUCCGGGAGAGGGAUGUGGAAUUCCAGGUGUAGCGGUGAAAUGCGUAGAUAUCGGGAGGAACACCUGUGGCGAAAGCGGCUCACUGGACCACAACUGACGCUGAGGCGCGAAAGCUAGGGGAGCAAACAGG